rnacentral:rRNA from 1 species
CCUACGGGUGGCUGCAGUGGGGAAUAUUGCACAAUGGGCGCAAGCCUGAUGCAGCAACGCCGCGUGAGUGAUGAAGGCCUUCGGGUCGUAAAACUCUGUCCUAAGGGAAGAUAAUGACGGUACCUUAGGAGGAAGCCCCGGCUAACUACGUGCCAGCAGCCGCGGUAAUACGUAGGGGGCAAGCGUUAUCCGGAAUUACUGGGCGUAAAGGGUGCGUAGGUGGCCUGACAAGUCAGGGGUCAAAGGCAACGGCUCAACCGUUGUAAGCCCUUGAA